rnacentral:rRNA from 2 species
GAGUUUGAUUAUGGCUCAGGAUGAACGCUGGCGGCGUGCUUAACACAUGCAAGUCGAGCGGAGUUUACAAUGGAAAGAUCUUCGGAAAUGGAAGCUGUAAACUUAGCGGCGGACGGGUGCGUAACGCGUGGGUAAUCUGCCCCUAUCAUCGGGAUAACACAUCGAAAGAUGUGCUAAUACCGAAUAAUAUACUUUUUUGGCAUCAAGAGAGUAUCAAAGUGUUAGCGGAUAGGGAUGAGCCUGCGUCUGAUUAGUUAGUUGGUGGGGUAAUGGCCUACCAAGGCGACGAUCAGUAGCCGACCUGAGAGGGUGAUCGGCCACACUGGAACUGAGACACGGUCCAGACUCCUACGGGAGGCAGCAGUGGGGAAUAUUGCACAAUGGGCGAAAGCCUGAUGCAGCAACCGCANGCGUGAGCGAUGAAGGUCUUCGGAUCGUAAAGCUCUGUCGCAUGGGAAGAUAAUGACCGNUCCCUNG